rnacentral:rRNA from 1 species
UACGGAGGGUGCAAGCGUUAUCCGGAUUCACUGGGUUUAAAGGGUGCGUAGGAGGGCAGGUAAGUCAGUGGUGAAAUCUCCAAGCUUAACUUGGAACUGCCGUUGAUACUAUCUGUCUUGAAUAUUUGUGGAGGUGAGCGGAAUAUGUCAUGUAGCGGUGAAAUGACUUAGAUAUGACAUAGAACACCAAUUGCGAAGCAGCUCGCUACACAUAUAUUGACUCUGAGGCACGAAAGCGUGGGGAUCAAACAGG